rnacentral:rRNA from 1 species
AGAGUUUGAUCCUGGCUCAGGACGAACGCUGGCGGCGCGCCUAACACAUGCAAGUCGAACGGAGCUUAGAGAGCUUGCUUUUUAAGCUUAGUGGCGAACGGGUGAGUAACGCGUGAGUAACCUGCCCUAGAGUGGGGGACAACAGUUGGAAACGACUGCUAAUACCGCAUAAGCCCACGGUACCGCAUGGUACUGAGGGAAAAGGAUUUAUUCGCUUUAGGAUGGACUCGCGUCCAAUUAGCUAGUUGGUGAGGUAACGGCCCACCAAGGCGACGAUUGGUAGCCGGACUGAGAGGUUGAACGGCCACAUUGGGACUGAGACACGGCCCAGACUCCUACGGGAGGCAGCAGUGGGGGAUAUUGCACAAUGGGGGAAACCCUGAUGCAGCGACGCCGCGUGGAGGAAGAAGGUUUUCGGAUUGUAAACUCCUGUCGUUAGGGACGAUAAUGACGGUACCUAACAAGAAAGCACCGGCUAACUACGUGCCAGCAGCCGCGGUAAAACGUAGGGUGCAAGCGUUGUCCGGAAUUACUGGGUGUAAAGGGAGCGCAGGCGGGAAGACAAGUUGGAAGUGAAAACCAUGGGCUCAACCCAUGAAUUGCUUUCAAAACUGUUUUUCUUGAGUAGUGCAGAGGUAGAUGGAAUUCCCGGUGUAGCGGUGGAAUGCGUAGAUAUCGGGAGGAACACCAGUGGCGAAGGCGGUCUACUGGGCACCAACUGACGCUGAGGCUCGAAAGCAUGGGUAGCAAACAGGAUUAGAUACCCUGGUAGUCCAUGCCGUAAACGAUGAUUACUAGGUGUUGGGGGAUUGACCCCCUCAGUGCCGCAGUUAACACAAUAAGUAAUCCACCUGGGGAGUACGACCGCAAGGUUGAAACUCAAAGGAAUUGACGGGGGCCCGCACAAGCAGUGGAGUAUGUGGUUUAAUUCGAAGCAACGCGAAGAACCUUA